rnacentral:rRNA from 1 species
AAGCUCGUAGUUGAAUUUCGGGGUUCUACCGUUGGUCGGGCUAACCAGUCUGUACUAGCGUGUAGAAUUCCUACCUUCUGGGGAACCAUCAUGUUAUUAAUUUAGCGUGGUGGGAAACCAGGACCUUUACCUUGAAAAAAUUAGAGUGUUCAAAGCAGGCUCACGUCUGAAUACAUUAGCAUGGAAUAAUAAAAUAGGACGGUGGUCCUGUUUUGUUGGUUUCUGAAUCACCGUAAUGAUUAAUAGGGAUAGUUGGG